AACGAACGCUGGCGGCAGGCCUAACACAUGCAAGUCGAGCGCCCCGCAAGGGGAGCGGCGGGCGGGUGAGUAACGCGUGGGAAUAUGCCCUUUGCUACGGAAUAGUCUCGGGAAACUGGGGGUAAUACCGUAUACGCCCUUUGGGGGAAAGAUUUAUCGGCGAAGGAUUAGCCCGCGUUGGAUUAGGUGGUUGGUGGGGUAAUGGCCUACCAAGCCGACGAUCCAUAGCUGGUUUGAGAGGAUGAUCAGCCACACUGGGACUGAGACACGGCCCAGACUCCUACGGGAGGCAGCAGUGGGGAAUCUUAGACAAUGGGGGCAACCCUGAUCUAGCCAUGCCGCGUGAGUGAUGAAGGCCUUAGGGUUGUAAAGCUCUUUCAGCUGGGAAGAUAAUGACGGUACCAGCAGAAGAAGCCCCGGCUAACUCCGUG
rnacentral:rRNA from 1 species